GCCAGAUUCCCUGGUGUCCUGAGAGAGGGAUGUCAUGGGCCAGCACUUCCCGGCCCCAAGUGAGCUCGGAAUCUGAUUAUACAAGGAGAAGAACAUAAAUCUUAUCAGACAGCCCUCUGCUCUUGAAAGCUUAUGGUCUAAAUAGACAAGAUGGACAAAGGGUAAGAGUAAGAAAGUGACUCACAUACGUUCACACAAGAAGUCUGCGAUAAAGCUGGAACUGAACACAGUCUGAUCGCCAGAUCAAGUUUUGCAAGUGUCAAUUCUUCCAACGCAAAAAGGAGAACAAAUGACAUAAUACAUCUGUUGAGGACCUGGCCCAUUGUAUUUCACUGUUAGGUGCACAGUUUGCUGAUGAACUGUGUAAGAUUGGGUUGGCACACAGUGAACAGUGCCAAAGCAGAACAUCCGGGCCCAUCGGAACUGCCACUGCGUGGCUGGAAGCAGCCAAGGUGAGAUGCAGUGGCAAAGCCAGAACUGGUUGUGAAGGAACUGGAAAAAAUGACGCCCAUCUCCAAGGCACCAAGGGACAGCCUGCUUUUUGAAUGAAUACGGCAAACAUUUCCGACGGAUAGGAAAGUGCCAAGGGCAAGAACAACCCUGGUAACAGCACCAGAGCAUUUUAAUUGUACAGACUCUAGAAAAUGAAUUAGCUGGGCUAAAUUAUUUUAGCAUCUCCAGAUAGCA